AGCGAGAGAGAGCUUGCUUUCUCGAGCGAGUGGCGAACGGGUGAGUAACGCGUGAGGAACCUGCCUCAAAGAGGGGGACAACAGUUGGAAACGACUGCUAAUACCGCAUAAGCCCACGGCUCGGCAUCGAGCAGAGGGAAAAGGAGUAAUCCGCUUUGAGAUGGCCUCGCGUCCGAUUAGCUAGUUGGUGAGGUGAUGGCCCACCAAGGCGACGAUCGGUAGCCGGACUGAGAGGUUAACCCCCACAUUGGUACUGAGACACGGACCAGACUCC
rnacentral:rRNA from 1 species